rnacentral:rRNA from 1 species
GACGAACGCUGGCGGCGUGCCUAAUACAUGCAAGUCGAACGAGUGGCGGACGGGUGAGUAAUGUCUGGGAAACUGCCUGAUGGAGGGGGAUAACUACUGGAAACGGUAGCUAAUACCGCAUACCAUCAGAUGUGCCCAGAUGGGAUUAGCUUGUUGGUGUGGUAACGGCUCACCAAGGCGACGAUCCCUAGCUGGUCUGAGAGGAUGACCGGCCACACUGGAACUGAGACACGGUCCAGACUCCUACGGGAGGCAGCAGUGGGGAAUAUUGCACAAUGGGCGAAAGCCUGAUACAGCCAUGCCGCGUGUAUGAAGAAGGCUUUCGGGUUGUAAAGUUCUUUCAGCGGGGAGGCGUUACCCGCAGAAGAAGCACCGGCUAACUCCGUGCCAGCAGCCGCGGUAAUUC